AGCGAACGCUGGCGGCAGGCUUAACACAUGCAAGUCGAGCGGGCGUAGCAAUACGUCAGCGGCAGACGGGUGAGUAACGCGUGGGAACGUACCUUUUGGUUCGGAACAACACAGGGAAACUUGUGCUAAUACCGGAUAAGCCCUUACGGGGAAAGAUUUAUCGCCGAAAGAUCGGCCCGCGUCUGAUUAGCUAGUUGGUGAGGUAACGGCUCACCAAGGCGACGAUCAGUAGCUGGUCUGAGAGGAUGAUCAGCCACAUUGGGACUGAGACACGGUCCAGACUCCUACGGGUGGCAG
rnacentral:rRNA from 1 species